GUAGGUGGCAAGCGUUGUCCGGAAUUAUUGGGCGUAAAGCGCGCGCAGGCGGUCCUUUAAGUCUGAUGUGAAAGCCCACGGCUCAACCGUGGAGGGUCAUUGGAAACUGGGGGACUUGAGUACAGAAGAGGAAAGCGGAAUUCCAAGUGUAGCGGUGAAAUGCGUAGAGAUUUGGAGGAACACCAGUGGCGAAGGCGGCUUUCUGGUCUGUGACUGACGCUGAGGCGCGAAAGCGUGGGGAGCAAACAGGGAUUAGAUACCCUGGUAGUCCACGCCGUAAACGAUGAGUGCUAAGUGUUAGGGGGUUUCCGCCCCCUUAGUGCUGCAGCUAACGCAUUAAGCACUCCGCCUGGGGAUACGGCCGCAAGGCUG
rnacentral:rRNA from 1 species